CGCCAGACUCCUACGGGAGGCAGCAGUGGGGAAUAUUGCACAAUGGGCGAAAGCCUGAUGCAGCGACGCCGCGUGAGUGAAGAAGUAUUUCGGUAUGUAAAGCUCUAUCAGCAGGGAAGAAAAUGGCGGUACCUGACUAAGAAGCCCCGGCUAACUACGUGCCAGCAGCCGCGGUAAUACGUAGGGGGCAAGCGUUAUCCGGAAUUACUGGGUGUAAAGGGAGCGUAGACGGUGAAGUAAGUCUGGAGUGAAAGGCGGGAGCCCAACCCCCGGACUGCUCUGGAAACUAUUUGACUGGAGUGCAGGAGAGGUAAGCGGAAUUCCUAGUGUAGCGGUGAAAUGCGUAGAUAUUAGGAGGAACACCAGUGGCGAAGGCGGCUUACUGGACUGUAACUGACGUUGAGGCUCGAAAGCGUGGGGAGCAAACAGGAUUAGAUACCCCUGUA
rnacentral:rRNA from 1 species